rnacentral:rRNA from 1 species
UUAAGCGACUAAGCGUACACGGUGGAUGCCCUGGCAGUCAGAGGCGAUGAAGGACGUGCUAAUCUGCGAAAAGCGUCGGUAAGGUGAUAUGAACCGUUAUAACCGGCGAUGUCCGAAUGGGGAAACCCAGUGUGAUUCGUCACACUAUCGUUAACUGAAUACAUAGGUUAACGAGGCGAACCGGGGGAACUGAAACAUCUAAGUACCCCGAGGAAAAGAAAUCAACCGAGAUUCCCCCAGUAGCGGCGAGCGAACGGGGAGCAGCCCAGAGUCUGAAUCAGCUUGUGUGUUAGUGGAACGGUCUGGAAAGUCCGACGGUACAGGGUGAUAGUCCCGUACACCAAAAUGCACAGGCUGUGAACUCGAAGAGUAGGGCGGGACACGUGGUAUCCUGUCUGAAUAUGGGGGGACCAUCCUCCAAGGCUAAAUACUCCUGACUGACCGAUAGUGAACCAGUACCGUGAGGGAAAGGCGAAAAGAACCCCGGCGAGGGGAGUGAAAAAGAACCUGAAACCGUGUACGUACAAGCAGUGGGAGCACCUUCGGGUGUGACUGCGUACCUUUUGUAUAAUGGGUCAGCGACUUAUAUUCUGUAGCAAGGUUAACCGUAUAGGGGAGCCGCAGGGAAACCGAGUCUUAACUGGGCGUUAAGUUGCAGGGUAUAGACCCGAAACCCGGUGAUCUAGCCAUGGGCAGGUUGAAGGUUGGGUAACACUAACUGGAGGACCGAACCGACUAAUGUUGAAAAAUUAGCGGAUGACUUGUGGCUGGGGGUGAAAGGCCAAUCAAACCGGGAGAUAGCUGGUUCUCCCCGAAAGCUAUUUAGGUAGCGCCUCGUGAAUUCAUCUUCGGGGGUAGAGCACUGUUUCGGCUAGGGGGUCAUCCCGACUUACCAACCCGAUGCAAACUACGAAUACCGAAGAAUGUUAUCACGGGAGACACACGGCGGGUGCUAACGUCCGUCGUGAAGAGGGAAACAACCCAGACCGCCAGCUAAGGUCCCAAAGUCAUGGUUAAGUGGGAAACGAUGUGGGAAGGCACAGACAGCCAGGAUGUUGGCUUAGAAGCAGCCAUCAUUUAAAGAAAGCGUAAUAGCUCACUGGUCGAGUCGGCCUGCGCGGAAGAUGUAACGGGGCUAAACCAUGCACCGAAGCUGCGGCAGCGACACUAUGUGUUGUUGGGUAGGGGAGCGUUCUGUAAGCCUGCGAAGGUGUGCUGUGAGGCAUGCUGGAGGUAUCAGAAGUGCGAAUGCUGACAUAAGUAACGAUAAAGCGGGUGAAAAGCCCGCUCGCCGGAAGACCAAGGGUUCCUGUCCAACGUUAAUCGGGGCAGGGUGAGUCGACCCCUAAGGCGAGGCCGAAAGGCGUAGUCGAUGGGAAACAGGUUAAUAUUCCUGUACUUGGUGUUACUGCGAAGGGGGGACGGAGAAGGCUAUGUUAGCCGGGCGACGGUUGUCCCGGUUUAAGCAUGUAGGCUGAUUGUCCAGGCAAAUCCGGAUAAUCAAGGCUGAGGUGUGAUGACGAGGCACUACGGUGCUGAAGUAACAAAUGCCCUGCUUCCAGGAAAAGCCUCUAAGCAUCAGGUAACAUCAAAUCGUACCCCAAACCGACACAGGUGGUCAGGUAGAGAAUACCAAGGCGCUUGAGAGAACUCGGGUGAAGGAACUAGGCAAAAUGGUGCCGUAACUUCGGGAGAAGGCACGCUGGUGUGUAGGUGAAGUCCCUGCGGAUGGAGCUGAGACCAGUCGAAGAUACCAGCUGGCUGCAACUGUUUAUUAAAAACACAGCACUGUGCAAACACGAAAGUGGACGUAUACGGUGUGACGCCUGCCCGGUGCCGGAAGGUUAAUUGAUGGGGUUAUCCGUAAGGAGAAGCUCUUGAUCGAAGCCCCGGUAAACGGCGGCCGUAACUAUAACGGUCCUAAGGUAGCGAAAUUCCUUGUCGGGUAAGUUCCGACCUGCACGAAUGGCGUAAUGAUGGCCAGGCUGUCUCCACCCGAGACUCAGUGAAAUUGAACUCGCUGUGAAGAUGCAGUGUACCCGCGGCAAGACGGAAAGACCCCGUGAACCUUUACUAUAGCUUGACACUGAACAUUGAGCCUUGAUGUGUAGGAUAGGUGGGAGGCUUUGAAGCGUGGACGCCAGUCUGCGUGGAGCCAACCUUGAAAUACCACCCUUUAAUGUUUGAUGUUCUAACGUUGGCCCCUUACCGGGGUUGCGGACAGUGUCUGGUGGGUAGUUUGACUGGGGCGGUCUCCUCCCAAAGCGUAACGGAGGAGCACGAAGGUUAGCUAAUCCUGGUCGGACAUCAGGAGGUUAGUGCAAUGGCAUAAGCUAGCUUGACUGCGAGCGUGACGGCGCGAGCAGGUGCGAAAGCAGGUCAUAGUGAUCCGGUGGUUCUGAAUGGAAGGGCCAUCGCUCAACGGAUAAAAGGUACUCCGGGGAUAACAGGCUGAUACCGCCCAAGAGUUCAUAUCGACGGCGGUGUUUGGCACCUCGAUGUCGGCUCAUCACAUCCUGGGGCUGAAGUAGGUCCCAAGGGUAUGGCUGUUCGCCAUUUAAAGUGGUACGCGAGCUGGGUUUAGAACGUCGUGAGACAGUUCGGUCCCUAUCU